CCUGUUCUAUAAUUGAUAAUCCACGAUUUAAUUUACCUUAUCUUAUUAAUUUAUAUAUCGUCGUAGUUUGAAUAUUUUUGAAGAAAAAUAAUAUUCAAAAUUUAUUAUUAUAAAAUAAAUCAGAUCAAGGUGUAGUUUAUAGGUAAGAAGAAAUGGGUUACAAUAAAGUUAUUUAUGGAUUAUUUUUUGUUAGAAAUUUUGAAAUUGGAUUUGAAAGUAAUUUUAUUUUAAAUUUUUAAAAUGAUUUAAGCUCUAAAAUAUGUACAUAUUGCCCGUCGCUUUUGUUUUAAGAUGAAAUAAGUCGUAACAAAGUAGAUUUACUGGAAAGUGAAUCUAGAAG
rnacentral:rRNA from 1 species